ACCAAGGGGAUGCCUUAGUAACGGGCGAGUGAAGCGGCAAAAGCUCAAAUUUGAAAUCUGGUACCUUCGGUGCCCGAGUUGUAAUUUGGAGAGGGCAACUUUGGGGCCGUUCCUUGUCUAUGUUCCUUGGAACAGGACGUCAUAGAGGGUGAGAAUCCCGUGUGGCGAGGAGUGCGGUUCUUUGUAAAGUGCCUUCGAAGAGUCGAGUUGUUUGGGAAUGCAGCUCUAAGUGGGUGGUAAAUUCCAUCUAAAGCUAAAUAUUGGCGAGAGACCGAUAGCGAACAAGUACAGUGAUGGAAAGAUGAAAAGAACUUUGAAAAGAGAGUGAAAAAGUACGUGAAAUUGUUGAAAGGGAAGGGCAUUUGAUCAGACAUGGUGUUUUGUGCCCUCUGCUCCUUGUGGGUAGGGGAAUCUCGCAUUUCACUGGGCCAGCAUCAGUUUUGGUGGCAGGAUAAAUCCAUAGGAAUGUAGCUUGCCUCGGUAAGUAUUAUAGCCUGUGGGAAUACUGCCAGCUGGGACUGAGGACUGCGACGUAAGUCAAGGAUGCUGGCAUAAUGGUUAUAUGCCGCCCGUCUAGAACC
rnacentral:rRNA from 1 species